CUAGUUAGUGUACGAUUUAAUAUUUGUUCACUAUAAUGCUCUUUUAUGUUCAUAGAAUCUUAAAAAUUAUUCACCUAGUUAUUAUAUUUUAUACCUCAUCAUGCUUAUUCGCGAAUUAUUUUUCACCAUGCUUAUGUGAUGAAUCACGCUACUCUUGGGACUUAUUCAAAAUAAAGUACCAUUUUGUUUAGAUCAGAAUCAACAUCACAACGUGUUCUUAAGCAUUUUUCGCAAUUAUAGUAAAAUUACUGGACUCUAACACCAAGUGUCAUGCCAAUCUGAGUUUAUUGAGCUGUGACUCAAGUGAAAAUCGUAAGAAAGAAAAAUAGAAAUGUGUUAAUGUGUAUAAAAAGUGUCAGGAGUAGAUCAUCCUUCGCCGUCACAAUGCCGGUCUUUCCGUGAUUUUCCCGGUUCAGAUUGCAUCAGAAACAGCACCCUUAAAGGAGAUUUUUCCACAAAAAAAGCUGCCGCAGGAAGCGGUGAAUGGAGGUAAGUUCGUUUAUCAUAUUUAUUUCGGAAUUUUGUUAUCAUUUUGUCACUAUUCCAGUUCAUUAUCCGGGAGACCUCAUCCAUUCCGGCCAUCGUGAGCAAGACGGAUUUGCGGCAAAUAUGCUGGAAAUGGUGGAUUCUGACCAAAUCAGAACAGGAACAGAUUGGCAGCAGCAAUGGGUAGCACAUCAGAUAGAACUUUAAAUAAAUGCGUUACAUGGUAAAAUCACAUUCUCACAUUUUUCUGUUCUUUGUUUACUUUAAUUAAAGAAAAAUGGUUUAUUUUAUUCAUAGCACAGAAUUUUAGGAUUAUAAGCCUUUAAUGCAUAAUUUCUGAAUAAUCAUUUAUCAAUAUAAAACCCGUUUAUGCUAGCCAAGAUUAAAACGCUAAAAUGCAUAUCACUGAGUAAAUAGACCGAAUAUGGUUUUAGAAUGGUAUCUAAGCCAUCUAGUAUAAUAUUUUCUUAGCGUGUACACGGAGUCUGUUAGUAUGCAAUAAAGAAAACGAAUAGAUUUUUAAAGGGCCAACCUGUUUUGCGUUGCCGAAGCCUCGAUGGAAGGUAUGGUAACGUUGAUUUUCUCUCCCCUUCAUUCGCAUUGCAUUAUAACGCAAACGUAAUAAUGACGUCAUGCAAACCGAAUUGAAGAACAUUCAAAGUGUGAAUGCAAAGGCAACAUAAAAUCAGCACACCUAUUUUUCGGCUCCUUUGCUUUCAGCCAUCUGUCAAACUCUUGUUUUGAUUUCGUUUCUGCGCCGUAAAGUUCGGAGCGGCAUCUCGGCAGUGAUUAGGUUUUAGGUUCCUGCUCAAAAAUCUUACCGUUUAUUCCAGCUCAUCAGAUGGAGGCAAACGAAGAAAUGAUAGACGACUGCGAGGCGAGUUUUUCUGGUCAGUUGCGGGGUUCGAAUGGUCCCACGCUUGGUGCAUAAAUGGAUGAGUCACUCGAUCUCUGUGUCCAUCGCCAUUCAGUUCUCUUUUGACUUCCAACAGAUGCUAGUUCUCUGGUUGUGCUACGUGACUGCACCAACGCUAUGAGGGAAGACCAGCUUGAUGAAUUCUUUGUUUCUCCGCCAACUCCAAAGCGCAACCCAACGCAUAGAAAUUAUGUCAAUCGCACACAUAUCGUCUUGACGGCUGCCGAAAGGCUGGAAGAAAUGCGGCUUCUUGAAGAAAAAAAAAGCAACAAACAGAAUUUAAGAAGAAAAAAGCGGAAAUGCGUGAAAUUCGUAAGAAAGAAAAAGAGAAGGAGGCAGAAGAAAGGAAGAAGAUGAAGUUGUUGAGGGAAAAGGAGAAACAACUGAUGAUUCAGCUGAAUAAAGAGAAAGGAUUGAAAUUGAUUAUUGAGCAACAAAUGCUGAAGGAACUCGUAGAUCGAGAUAAGACAACACAGAUACAAGUAAAAACGUUGUUUCAGAAAUAAUAAACAUUACAAAUAAUAAAAAAUCAGAAAAGAAAAACUAGCAAAAUGAUAAUUCGAACAUAAACUAAUGUGAACAUUCAUUUU